UCCUCAGUGAUGGACAGGUUCGAGCAGCA
rnacentral:piRNA from 1 species